rnacentral:tRNA from 1 species
GUCAGGGCUCAGUGGUAGAGCACUUGCCUCGCAUGUGUGAGGCCCUGGGUUCGAUUCUCAGCAACA